rnacentral:tRNA from 1 species
GCCUCCGUAGUGAAAUGGAUAUCACAUCAGGCUUCGAACCUGACAUUGGGGGUUCGAGUCCCUCCGGAGGCA